CCUACGGGCGGCAGCAGUGGGGAAUAUUGGACAAUGGGGGGAACCCUGAUCCAGCGACGCCGCGUGAGUGAAGAAGUAUUUCGGUAUGUAAAGCUCUAUCAGCAGGGAAGAAAGAAAUGACGGUACCUGACUAAGAAGCCCCGGCUAACUACGUGCCAGCAGCCGCGGUAAUACGUAGGGGGCAAGCGUUAUCCGGAUUUACUGGGUGUAAGGGGAGCGUAGACGGCGAUGCAAGUCUGAAGUGAAAGGCGGGGGCCCAACCCCCGGACUGCUUUGGAAACUGUAUGGCUGGAGUGCAGGAAAGGAAAGUGGAAUUCCUGGUGUAGCGGUGAAAUGCGUAGAUAUUAGGAGGAACACCAGUGGCGAAGGCGGGUGACUGGAGUGUAACUGACGUUGAGGCUCGAAAGCGUGGGGAGCAAACAGGAUUAGAUACCCUUGUAGUC
rnacentral:rRNA from 1 species